UUCUGCUGCUGUUGUUGUUGCUGGUUCUGUGUGAACUCUUGGGCACUGCUGUCUAUGCUGUAGCCGGUGAUACUGUCAGGGCUCUGUAGCGAAGCCGCGUACAGGGGAUUCACCGGCGUUGAGUUCACGUCGAACUGCGUCGAGUCAUAGACGCUGUGAUUCUACAAGCAGAAAAAUAAAGGAAAUACGUUUUUGGAUAUUUUUUGUUUGUAGUUUCAGUUAUUGGCUGUGAGUUCUUGAGUUGUGUAACCCGUACUUAGAGUCUAUAGAACUAAUUUAAAAAGAUUUUAACGCAUAUUAUAAUAAUAAUAUGGCAAGCUCUUACGAAACUAGGCGACGCAGAGAUAAGGUACAAUAGCCAAUUUCAUUUUCGAUAUGCUGGUCUGUCAGAAGCCUUAUUGAGGGAUGAAUCGGUCAAACAGAGGCAAUUGCAAGUAUAAAAUGGUUCAAAUUGAUCACACCAGCAACUGCCUUGAUCGUCUGGAUAAAUGAAACAAAUAACACUGACUACUACAACAAAACGUUUAAUCGAGUUCAGCCCAAAUAUUUACAAAUAGAUAAAAAACGGGGCAAGAUAGCAUCAUUUUCUGGUAAAAAAAUUUUUACUAGAUAACUUUUUAAAAGCAGCCAAAUGUUAUUUACAAUGAGAAUCAACAACGCACUGUUUUAGAAACAGAAUCUCUUUUUCCACAUCGUUGCGUAACGAUAAUUGUUUAGUGUUUAAUGUACCGAUUUCGUGGCUUUUAGCCACUCAAAUGUUCAACUUUUGCGCUUACGCAAUACAGUUCUUAAUAAAAAAAAUACUGCCUGUCCAAUGGUGUAUGCCAAGUCUCAAAAAAAA